GAUGAACGCUAGCGGCGUGCCUAAUACAUGCAAGUCGAACGCUUCUUUUUCCAUCGGAGCUUGCUCCACCGGAAAAAGAGGAGUGGCGAACGGGUGAGUAACACGUGGGUAACCUGCCCAUCAGAAGGGGAUAACACUUGGAAACAGGUGCUAAUACCGUAUAACAAUCGAAACCGCAUGGUUUUGAUUUGAAAGGCGCUUUCGGGUGUCGCUGAUGGAUGGACCCGCGGUGCAUUAGCUAGUUGGUGAGGUAACGGCUCACCAAGGCGACGAUGCGUAGCCGACCUGAGAGGGUGAUCGGGCCACAUUGGGACUGAGACACGGCCCAAACUCCUACGGGAGGCAGCAGUAGGGAAUCUUGCACAAUGGGGGAAACCCUGAUGCAGCGACGCCGCGUGAGCGAAGAAGUAUUUCGGGUAUGUAAAGCCCUAUCAGCAGGGAAG
rnacentral:rRNA from 1 species